UGACCUCAGCAGUUCUGACGCAUUAGCCA
rnacentral:piRNA from 1 species